AAACCAUGAUGGGGGCAUCUUCAAGGAGAUCCUUGAAUCUUUUAUACGCUUCAAAUAAUGUCUUGGACUCUCCUUGUUUAAACGCUGAAAUUUCUUACCUUAGCUU